GACGAACGCUGGCGGCGUGCUUAACACAUGCAAGUCGAACGGAAAGGCCCUGCUUUUGUGGGGUGCUCGAGUGGCGAACGGGUGAGUAACACGUGAGUAACCUGCCCUUGACUUUGGGAUAACUUCAGGAAACUGGGGCUAAUACCGGAUAGGAGCUCCUGCUGCAUGGUGGGGGUUGGAAAGUUUCGGCGGUUGGGGCUGGACUCGCGGCUUAUCAGCUUGUUGGUGGGGUAGUGGCUUACCAAGGCUUUGACGGGUAGCCGGCCUGAGAGGGUGACCGGCCACCUUGGGACUGCGAUACGGCCCAGACUCCUACGGGACGCAGCAGUGGGGAAUAUUGCACAAUGGGCGGAAGCCUGAUGCAGCAACGCCGCGUGCGGGAUGCCGGCCUUCGGGUUGUAAACCGCUUUCGCCUGUGACGAAGCGUGAGUGACGGUAAUGGGUAAAGAAGCACCGGCUAACUACGUG
rnacentral:rRNA from 1 species